rnacentral:rRNA from 1 species
CCUACGUGUGGCAGCAGUGAGGAAUAUUGGUCAAUGGGCGCGAGCCUGAACCAGCCAAGUCGCGUGAGGGAAGACGGUCCUAUGGAUUGUAAACCUCUUUUGUCGGGGAGCAAAAGACGCCACGCGUGGCGUUCCGAGAGUACACGAAGAAAAAGCAGCGGCUAACUCCGUGCCAGCAGCCGCGGUAAUACGGAGGAUGCGAGCGUUAUCCGGAUUUAUUGGGUUUAAAGGGUGCGCAGGCGGAAGAUCAAGUCAGCGGGAAAAUUGAGAGGCUCAACCUCUUCGAGCCGUUGAAACUGGUUUGCUUGAGUGGGCGAGAAGUAUGCGGAAUGCGUGGUGUAGCGGUGAAAUGCAUAGAUAUCACGAAGAACUCCGAUGGCGAAGGCAGCAUACCGGCGCUCAACUGACGCUCAUGCACGAAAGUGUGGGUAUCGAACAGGAUUAGAUACCCGAGUAGUC